GUUCAACACAUCGAUUAUUACAACACCUCGGAAAAACUUGUGAUAUUUCAAAAUAAUAAUUCUUUCGGAUUGUACUUCCUCUUGUAAAAAAGUAUAUAUAGUUGGAGAGGCGUCAGAAUAUCAGGGGUGCGAGACGAAUGAAGAAUGAACGGACACAAGAUUUUAAUUUUGGAACGGUAUACAUUUUGGUUGAAAGUUGUUGCUACAUCUUUGAAGAUGGCGACGAUUUUUAGAAAAAUUGUUACCAACAUUUUGGUCUACAAGAUAUCUUAAAGCUUGAGCAGCCCUUGAAAAUUCUAACAUCUCUCACACUUUAUUGUACAUUAUUAUUUAAGAAAAGAGGUCAAUAAAAUGGUAGAAUGUUAAACGAUAUAUUACUAGGAAAUGUUUCUAAAAUUUAAGCCUAUGUCUAGGAAGAACAAGAUUUAAUCUGUUCAUAAUGUUAAUUAUCUACCUUUACCAACAUUCCGACAACGUCCUUUACUACCUUGUGGACCAUAACAAUUCUUUUCGUAGAUUUUUUGCAGAAUCUUAAUUUUAGUUUGUCUGAUAUCACGUUUGCGUUGACAAAUUUCUUUUUCAGGUGUACAAACAACACCGCAAUUGAACCACACUCGUUUGCUUAUAGUCAUACAUAUGAAUGAUUGUUUUCAUCUCCGCCGAUCAUCCAAUAUAUUUUUAAAAGCUCCCAUAAGCUUAAGGAGAGUUAACUACGCCUACGGAUUCCUAAACGGUUUUGUUAAAAGGAUGUCUUUCCAAACUUUCGAAGCACCCUGAUAUGGUAACGUUUGACACUGGGAACAAAAGUUGCAUUUUCAGUAUUUUAAACCAGCACAAAGUAUCUAGAUAGUGCCAUUAAUCACAACUGCCACACCGCUAUAAACCUUUUAACUCUUUCCAUAAAGUAAAUAUUUGCAUUUGCUUGGUUGAACUUGUAAAUCAGGAACCAACACUGAUCCUUGUGGUGUUUUUAUUUCUCCAACGAAUACAGCAGUUAACUCACAUUUAGUCUUUUCAAUACUGGAUUAAUCCUCGACUGGAGCGUACAGAAUUUUGCCUUUGCAAUGCUAUACGUCUGUGUAAUAUAAUUGGAAUUAACGCUUUUGCAAUUCCUAGUGAACGAGAAUGGCAUCACACAAAUAUACUCAGUUGGAAAUAGUCAGCUGAAGGUGUUUAUAUUAGCCAUUAAUCCAUUUUACUAAUUUCUUCGUUCGCUCAGAGUACGUACAAGUGAAGAAUACGUACUGUUCCGCCGUCCAG